rnacentral:rRNA from 1 species
AGUGAACGCUGGCGGUAGGCCUAACACAUGCGAGUCGAACGGCAGCACAGUAAGAGCUUGCUCUUACGGGUGGCGAGUGGCGGACGGGUGAGGAAUACAUCGGAAUCUACUUUUUCGUGGGGGAUAACGUAGGGAAACUUACGCUAAUACCGCAUACGACCUACGGGUGAAAGCAGGGGAUCUUCGGACCUUGCGCGAUUGAAUGAGCCGAUGUCGGAUUAGCUAGUUGGCGGGGUAAAGGCCCACCAAGGCGACGAUCCGUAGCUGGUCUGAGAGGAUGAUCAGCCACACUGGAACUGAGACACGGUCCAGACUCCUACGGGAGGCAGCAGUGGGGAAUAUUGGACAAUGGGCGCAAGCCUGAUCCAGCCAUACCGCGUGGGUGAAGAAGGCCUUCGGGUUGUAAAGCCCUUUUGUUGGGAAAGAAAAGCAGCAGGUUAAUACCCCGCUGUUCUGACGGUACCCAAAGAAUAAGCGCCGGCUAACUUCGUG